CUCAGGACGAACGCUGGCGGCGUGCUUAACACAUGCAAGUCGAGCGGUAAGGCCCUUUCGGGGGUACACGAGCGGCGAACGGGUGAGUAACACGUGGGUGACCUGCCCUCAGCUCUGGGAUAAGCCUGGGAAACCGGGUCUAAUACUGGAUAUGACUCCAUGACGCAUGUUGUGGGGUGGAAAGCCUUGUGCGGCUGAGGAUGGGCCCGCGGCCUAUCAGCUUGUUGGUGGGGNGAUGGCCUACCAAGGCGACGACGGGUAGCCGGCCUGAGAGGGCGACCGGCCACACUGGGACUGAGACACGGCCCAGACUCCUACGGGAGGCAGCAGUGGGGAAUCUUGCGCAAUGGGCGAAAGCCUGACGCAGCGACGCCGCGUGAGGGAUGACGGCCU
rnacentral:rRNA from 1 species